rnacentral:rRNA from 1 species
UACGUAGGGGGCAAGCGUUAUCCAGAUUUACUGGGCGUAAAGGAUGCGUAGGCGGACAUUUAAGUCAGAUGUGAAAUCCCCGAGCUUAACUUGGGUGCUGCAUUUGAAACUGGGUGUCUAGAGUGCAGGAGAGGUAAGUGGAAUUCCUAGUGUAGCGGUGAAAUGCGUAGAGAUUAGGAAGAACACCAGUGGCGAAGGCGACUUACUGGACUGUAACUGACGCUGAGGCAUGAAAGCGUGGGGAGCAAACAGG